UCCAUCAGAGACUUUAUAAACUUUGGGAUUUAAUAGAGUAACCUCCAGUGAUAUUAUCUUCUCUCUCUUUUUCAGUGUCGAUUGCCGUCUUAUUGUUCAGCUACAUACACCACAACGGCUCUUUUAAGAGCCACAUCUUGAGAACGUCUUUGACUUUCAGCUACAUACACCACAACGGCUCUUUUAAGAGCCACAUCUUGAGAACGUCUUUGACUUUAAAGUUCUCUACAGUCAACCACACUCACUCAACGAUAUCCACAGUUCACACUUGAUCAAAACCAAGGU